rnacentral:tRNA from 1 species
AGGGCAAUAGCUCAACGGUAGAGCCUUCGCCUCACAUGCAAAAAAACCCGGGUUUGACUCCCGGCUGCUUCG